rnacentral:rRNA from 1 species
ACGGGUGAGUAAAGCAUCGGAACGUACCCAGUAGCGGGGGAUAACUACGCGAAAGCGUAGCUAAUACCGCAUACGCCCUACGGGGGAAAGGGGGGGAUCGCAAGACCUCUCACUAUUGGAGCGGCCGAUGUCGGAUUAGCUAGUUGGUGGGGUAAAGGCCUACCAAGGCGACGAUCCGUAGCUGGUUUGAGAGGACGACCAGCCACACUGGGACUGAGACACGGCCCAGACUCCUACGGGAGGCAGCAG